AUUGAACGCUGGCGGCAUGCCUAACACAUGCAAGUCGAGCGGCAGCGCGAGUAGUUUACUACUUGGCGGCGAGCGGCGGACGGCUGAGUAACGCGUGGGAACGUGCCCCAAAGUGAGGAAUAACUGCCCGAAAGGGUGGCUAAUGCCGCAUAUGGUCUUCGGAUUAAAGGAUUUAUCCGCUUUGGGAGCGGCCCGCGUCGGAUUAGGUUGUUGGUGGGGUAAUGGCGCACCAAGCCGACGAUCCGUAGCUGGUCUGAGAGGAUGAUCAGCCAGACUGGGACUGAGACACGGCCCAGACUCCUACGGGAGGCAGCAGUGAGGAAUCUUCCACAAUGGGCGAAAGCGUGAUGGAGAAACGCCGGGUGAAAGAUGAAGGCCCUCGGGUUGUAAACUUCUUUGAUAAGUGAAGAAUAUGACGGUAACUUAUGAAUAAGCACCGGCUAACUACGUGCCAGCCGCCGCCGUAAAAC
rnacentral:rRNA from 1 species